CCUACGGGUGGCUGCAGUGGGGGAUAUUGCACAAUGGGGGAAACCCUGAUGCAGCGACGCCGCGUGUAGGAAGACGGUCCUCUGGAUUGUAAACUACUGUCCCCAGGGACGAAGAUGACGGUACCUGGGGAGGAAGCUCCGGCUAACUACGUGCCAGCAGCCGCGGUAAUACGUAGGGAGCGAGCGUUGUCCGGAAUUACUGGGUGUAAAGGGAGCGUAGGCGGGGAUGCAAGUUGGGUGUUAAAUCUACCGGCUCAACUGGUAGUCGCACUCAAAACUGGAGCUCUUGAGUGAAGUAGAGGCAGGCGGAAUUCGUAGUGUAGCGGUGAAAUGCGUAGAUAUUAGGAAGAACACCGGUGGCGAAGGCAGCCUGCUGGGCUUUUACUGACGCUGAUGCUCGAAAGUGUGGGGAGCAAACAGGAUUAGAUACCCCUGUAGUC
rnacentral:rRNA from 1 species